rnacentral:ncRNA from 1 species
AAGGGAAUGAGCUUGAAAAAAUUAGAGGGGAAAGAAGACCAUUUUGAGCUUGACUCUAGUCCGACUUUGUGAAAUGGCAUGAGAGGUGUAGAAUAAGUGGGAGUUAUUUUCAUCACAAGUGAAAUACCACUAAUUUUAACAUUAUUUUACUUAUUUUGUGGGGCAAAGACGGGGCAUUGCACGUAUGUUAAAAUAUAACGCACAUUUCCUCAAAGUGUUGUCAUUGAUGGCAAUGGCCAAGAGCUCAUUCUUCAUGCACUUGAUGGAAAUGAGUUUAGGAAACAAGCACAAAUUGAAAAACUUUCAACGUUGGCACAUGAUAUAUGGUUGAUAUGCAUGAUUUAUUCCCCCCACUUGACCAU